UGCUUAACACAUGCAAGUCGCACGGACCCUUCGGGGUUAGUGGCGCACGGGUGAGUAACACGUAGGAAUCUGUCUUGAGGUGGGGGAUAACUCCGGGAAACUGGAGCUAAUACCGCAUGAUAACUGAGGUUCAAAGGUCGCAAGACCGCCUUGAGAGGGGCCUGCGUUCGAUUAGUUAGUUGGUGGGGUAAUGGCCUACCAAGACGAUGAUCGAUAGCUGGUUUGAGAGGAUGAUCAGCCACACUGGGACUGAGACACGGCCCAGACUCCUACGGGAGGCAGCAGUGGGGAAUAUUGGACAAUGGGGGCAACCCUGAUCCAGCAAUGCCGCGUGUGUGAAGAAGGUCUUCGGAUUGUAAAACACUUUCGUUGGGGACGAUGAUGACGGUACCCAAAGAAGAAGCCCCGGCUAACUUCGUGCCNGCAGCCGCGGUAAUACGAAGGGGGCGAGCGUUGCUCGGAAUAACUGGGCGUAAAGGGCGCGUANGCGGCCGAUAGCUGUCANAUGUGAAAUUUUUGGGCUCAACCCGAAAACUGC
rnacentral:rRNA from 1 species